rnacentral:rRNA from 1 species
GACGAACGCUGGCGGCGUGCUUAACACAUGCAAGUCGAACGGUAAGGCCCUUCGGGGUACACGAGUGGCGAACGGGUGAGUAACACGUGGGUAAUCUGCCCUGCACAUCGGGAUAAGCCUGGGAAACUGGGUCUAAUACCGAAUAGGACCACAGGACACAUGUCCUGUGGUGGAAAGCUUUUGCGGUGUGGGAUGGGCCCGCGGCCUAUCAGCUUGUUGGUGGGGUGAUGGCCUACCAAGGCGACGACGGGUAGCCGGCCUGAGAGGGUGUCCGGCCACACUGGGACUGAGAUACGGCCCAGACUCCUACGGGAGGCAGCAGUGGGGAAUAUUGCGCAAUGGGCGAAAGCCUGAUGCAGCGACGCCGCGUGGGGGAUGACGGCCUUCGGGUUGUAAACCUCUUUCACCAUCGACGAAGGUCCGGGUUUUCUCGGGCUGACGGUAGGUGGAGAAGAAGCACCGGCCAACUACGUG